CCCGGCAAAAUCAUGGCUAAAGGAUACAAAAUUAUUUACAAGAUGUGGCGCGACAUGCGUUUUCUGAACUCACAUGUGUGAUAAUUUGGAGUUUCAGGCAUAGUCCCCUAAAACUGUUUAAUUUUUCUGCGACAUUUAGACAUACUAGCGUGAAGUCCGUGCAUUGCUAUGGGCAAAAAUGAAGUAAAUAUAUACCUGUUAAAAGUUAUCAUUUUGUCAUUUGUUCUAGAUUGAAUCAUACUUAUGAUAUCGUUUGUGCCAGAUCAAACCAUAGAUACCCAUUCUUGUCCCGAUCUUAUACGGGAUCCGACGUGUGUUUGGACCACCGCCACAGAUUGACAUCUUUAUAGUAGGUAAGGGUCAACUACACAAUGUAGCGAACACAUCCAAAAUUGUACAGCUUAACUGAAUUCAGCAAAUUGCCAUCUUAAUGCAUAAUCCAGCUCAAAAUGACAGGAUGAGUAGGUGACACAUACACACAAGAGAAGAAGUGAAGAUUUCUAAGGUGAAAGGGUGGCUGUUAGUUCUGUAGUGGAUGAUAGAUGUAUAAAUUCUGUAGUUUUAUGUUUGUCUGAGCAUGGGCUGUGGAGAAUUGCAUGUUCUCUGAGGGCGACGUGGCUCCCCUGUGAUGUAAACUGAACCUGUUUUGAACCUGAGACUGUGUGUUAUCAGUUUCCAUGAAAACUGAAAAAGUGAAAAUCAGGGAUGAUCGAGUCCGAGGAUGAACGGAACACCACCAAAGGUUGAAGUCCUUAUAUAGUGG
rnacentral:lncRNA from 1 species